UCUUGUGUUGGACGGAAAUCA
rnacentral:piRNA from 1 species